UCAUCAGGCACCACCCAGAGUCUGAGGCUGCGUGACGGUGGGUACAAAAAAAAAAGAAAAAAGAAAUAAAAAAUAAGAGGAAAGACUAAUUCUGGAGGAAGCUCUGUACACUAGAGAAUGGUGAAUUUUAAAUUCAUAGCUAAAAUAAUCUAAAAAGCUGCUGUAGAAUCACAUUCAAUCAGUUAAUUAUAGGAUGCAUGUGUUUCAUGGUAAUUUAAUUUUAAAAAUUCAGAAACUUUAGUUGAUGCCAUGCCAGUCACCAAUAUACACCGGGCCCUGACCCAGGGAAGUAAUAGUGCUAGUAAGCCACAUGGGGAAGAAAGUUCUAGUAGACACUUCAAAAAGGACACUUAUAAACCAGCAAAGGCUACCAGGCCGUUGAGGGUCUGCUUAAUCCAUGAAUGAAUGAAUGAAUGAAUGAUCCAUAAGGACACUGGGAUUAUUACAAGAAAAUAUUCAAUCCACUGAGAUAUUAAAGCCAAAAUGAUUUGUGAAAUGCUAAUCAUUAUAAGAAAGAGACUAGUAAUUUUUAAAAAACCAAAUCUAUAGAUUCAUGUGUGAUUCUCACAAAUGUCUUUCAGGAAAGACAAUCAUCGAUGUGUUUCAAAUAUCUGAUUGUUCAUCACUUGAAAAUUCACGGUUGCUCUGGAGGCAGGAUUAUUGGAAGGUAUGGUGAGCCAGCAUAUCAGAAGACAACUGCCACUGAAAAAGAUCAGGGUUCAUAAGAGGAGAGGGCAUCUCAUGCCACACGGGAAUACACUGACAAGCACUGGGGUCGGUCAGGAGCCAAAAGGAGCAAGGGGAAAGCAUGGGGAUGCGUCUUUAUUGUAGUUUCCACGUGCAAGGCAGGGUGAAAAGGUGAGUUGAAGAAAGCCCAAAGAAGAAUAGCAAACGUGAUCAAGAAAAGGCAGACCACUAGACAUGUGGGCCCUUCAGUCUAAAAGUCAAGGCUGAAAAAUAACACUAUCCAAAUCUAUAAAAGUAUGGUGAGUAUGGAUGUGCAUGGUGAAGUUGGACUUGCUUAUCAAAUUCCUGAUUGCUAACAAUUAAGGCAACAACCCUUGAAACUUAAAAACAGAACUAUUUAGAGGCAAUAAGCUUUGUUAUUUUCGUGCUGUGUAAGAAAUAGUGAUUGUACCACCCAGAGGUAGUAUAGGAAGACAUAGUUUUGAAAUGGAUUGUUAAGCAAGAAGGCAUUUUGGAAAUUAUUUGUCCAAAUCCUCAUUUCACACAUGGGGAAAGUGGCCCAAGAAAGAAGUGUCUUGGCCAAAGUGACAUGAAUAACAAAACCCAGGUAAUUCAGCGUUCAUUAAUAAAUAUAAGCACUUACUCUAUCAGGCCCUGCUCAUUCUACUUGCCAUGUGAUUAGAUAAAUCCAUUAGCAGUUUCUAAAGAUUUCUAAAUGAUUUUUAAUGAAAGUUAGAAAUUUAGGAAUAUAUCCUUUUUAAUACUGACAGCAUGAAUGACAGUUUAGCAGUCCUACAAAACUUACCCUCAUAUAAGAUGUUGAAGACAGAACAAAGGCCAGAAGAGACCAUUAUAUAUAUUCAUAGUUGAUUACCCUUAGUUAGUGGUUGGUGACAGAAAUGAUGAAAUGAAUUCUUACCUUUUGGGUUAUCUAUGUGACAGCUCUCCAUUAGCACAAAUACACAGCAGUUAAUGAUUCAUUCACUGUCAUCCCUGGGUUAUGUGCAGGCAUGGGGCAGAUAAUGAGAAAACACUUGUUUCUUGGCUUUGUGUUAUAUUCUUAUAAAUGAAUUGGACUAUGUAUUGAGCCUCAGAAAAUUCAUGAUACUUUAGUGAAGUACACUACAAUAUAUCCUCUGUAGUUGGUCUUCCUGAAUUUUUCUCUAGACUCUUUUCCAACAAACUCAUCUUUUAAAAAGGCUCAUUAUUUUCUGGGUUUUACAAAUUUAGACUUUAUGAAGAUUCAAACUCUGAAGCUCCUUUAUUUUUGAAGAACACUUUAAAGCAAAUAAUAUAAGUUAA